GAAUGCAGCGCGGGAGAGACUGUCAUCGAACGAUGACGGCGCCGACGGAGCAACCGCCCCGGAAACUCUCAGGCCCAAGGACCGCGCCGCAGGA
rnacentral:ncRNA from 1 species